GUUUUUAAUACGACCUAAGUAAUAGUGUUGCAGUGUACCCACCGUUUUACGAUAUUUGGCGGGCGUGACAUAUACGUGUAACAGCAAUUAUUGUCGUACACGAUAAUACGCAAGCUGUAUGUUAUCACUAAGGCCCGGAUGUUGUUAAUGGCCGAAAUUUCUUUAAAAAAUGCAUUUAAAAAUGUCAAAUAUGCAAAUAUAUGCAAAAUAAGUUUGCACG